GUGAGGAAUAUUGCGCAAUGGCCGAAAGGCUGACGCAGCGACGCCGCGUGGAGGAUGAAAUCCGUUAGGAUGUAAACUCCUUUUGCCGGGGAAGAAUGUCCGCCUAUGGCGGAAGUGACGGUACCUGGCGAAUAAGGAUCGGCUAACUACGUGCCAGCAGCCGCGGUAAUACGUAGGAUCCGAGCGUUGUCCGGAAUUACUGGGUGUAAAGGGCGUGUAGGUGGGCUUCUAAGUCGGUGGUGAAAUCCUGCAGCUUAACUGUAGAACUGCCAUUGAUACUGGAAGUCUUGAGUGCGGCAGAGGGAGAUAGAAUUCAUGGUGUAGCGGUGAAAUGUGUAGAUAUCAUGAAGAAUACCAGUUGCGAAGGCGGUCUCCUGGUCCGUUACUGACACUGAGGCGCGAAAGCGUGGGGAGCAAACAGGAUUAGAUACCCUAGUAGUCC
rnacentral:rRNA from 1 species